rnacentral:rRNA from 1 species
GAGGGGAAUAUUGGACAAUGGGCGCAAGCCUGAUCCAGCCAUGCCGCGUGAGUGAUGAAGGCCUUCGGGUUGUAAAGCUCUUUAGCCGAUGAUUAUAAUGACUGUAGUCGGAAAAUAAGCCCCGGCUAACUUCGUGCCAGCAGCCGCGGUAAUACGAAGGGGGCGAGCGUUAUUCGGAAUCACUGGGCGUAAAGCGUGCGUAGGCGGCUUUGCAAGUUGGGAGUGAAAGCCCAGGGCUCAACCCUGGAAUUGCUCUCAAAACUGCAAGGCUCGAAUUCGGGAGAGGAUAGCGGAAUUGUCAGUGUAGCAGUGAAAUGCGUAGAUAUUGACAGGAACACCAGUGGCGUAAGCGGCUAUCUGGACCGAUAUUGACGCUGAGGCACGAAAGCGUGGGGAUCAAACAGGAUUAGAAACCCGGGUAGUCC